rnacentral:rRNA from 1 species
UUGAAGAGUUUGAUCAUGGCUCAGAUUGAACGCUGGCGGCAGGCCUAACACAUGCAAGUCGAACGGUAACAGAAAGCAGCUUGCUGCUUUGCUGACGAGUGGCGGACGGGUGAGUAAUGUCUGGGAAACUGCCCGAUGGAGGGGGAUAACUACUGGAAACGGUAGCUAAUACCGCAUAACGUCGCAAGACCAAAGAGGGGGACCUUAGGGCCUCUUGCCAUCGGAUGUGCCCAGAUGGGAUUAGCUAGUAGGUGGGGUAAAGGCUCACCUAGGCGACGAUCCCUAGCUGGUCUGAGAGGAUGACCAGCCACACUGGAACUGAGACACGGUCCAGACUCCUACGGGAGGCAGCAGUGGGGAAUAUUGCACAAUGGGCGCAAGCCUGAUGCAGCCAUGCCGCGUGUAUGAAGAAGGCCUUCGGGUUGUAAAGUACUUUCAGCGGGGAGGAAGGGAGUAAAGUUAAUACCUUUGCUCAUUGACGUUACCCGCAGAAGAAGCACCGGCUAACUCCGUGCCAGCAGCCGCGGUAAUACGGAGGGUGCAAGCGUUAAUCGGAAUUACUGGGCGUAAAGCGCACGCAGGCGGUUUGUUAAGUCAGAUGUGAAAUCCCCGGGCUCAACCUGGGAACUGCAUCUGAUACUGGCAAGCUUGAGUCUCGUAGAGGGGGGUAGAAUUCCAGGUGUAGCGGUGAAAUGCGUAGAGAUCUGGAGGAAUACCGGUGGCGAAGGCGGCCCCCUGGACGAAGACUGACGCUCAGGUGCGAAAGCGUGGGGAGCAAACAGGAUUAGAUACCCUGGUAGUCCACGCCGUAAACGAUGUCGACUUGGAGGUUGUGCCCUUGAGGCGUGGCUUCCGGAGCUAACGCGUUAAGUCGACCGCCUGGGGAGUACGGCCGCAAGGUUAAAACUCAAAUGAAUUGACGGGGGCCCGCACAAGCGGUGGAGCAUGUGGUUUAAUUCGAUGCAACGCGAAGAACCUUACCUGGUCUUGACAUCCACGGAAGUUUUCAGAGAUGAGAAUGUGCCUUCGGGAACCGUGAGACAGGUGCUGCAUGGCUGUCGUCAGCUCGUGUUGUGAAAUGUUGGGUUAAGUCCCGCAACGAGCGCAACCCUUAUCCUUUGUUGCCAGCGGUCCGGCCGGGAACUCAAAGGAGACUGCCAGUGAUAAACUGGAGGAAGGUGGGGAUGACGUCAAGUCAUCAUGGCCCUUACGACCAGGGCUACACACGUGCUACAAUGGCGCAUACAAAGAGAAGCGACCUCGCGAGAGCAAGCGGACCUCAUAAAGUGCGUCGUAGUCCGGAUUGGAGUCUGCAACUCGACUCCAUGAAGUCGGAAUCGCUAGUAAUCGUGGAUCAGAAUGCCACGGUGAAUACGUUCCCGGGCCUUGUACACACCGCCCGUCACACCAUGGGAGUGGGUUGCAAAAGAAGUAGGUAGCUUAACCUUCGGGAGGGCGCUUACCACUUUGUGAUUCAUGACUGGGGUGAAGUCGUAACAAGGUAACCGUAGGGGAACCUGCGGUUGGAUCACCUCCUU